rnacentral:rRNA from 1 species
AUUGAACGCUGGCGGCAUGCCUUACACAUGCAAGUCGAACGGUAACGCGGGGCAACCUGGCGACGAGUGGCGAACGGGUGAGUAAUAUAUCGGAACGUGCCCAGUAGUGGGGGAUAGCCCGGCGAAAGCCGGAUUAAUACCGCAUGAGACCUGAGGGUGAAAGCGGGGGAUCGCAAGACCUCGCGCUAUUGGAGCGGCCGAUAUCAGAUUAGGUAGUUGGUGGGGUAAAGGCCUACCAAGCCGACGAUCUGUAGCUGGUCUGAGAGGACGACCAGCCACACUGGGACUGAGACACGGCCCAGACUCCUACGGGAGGCAGCAGUGGGGAAUUUGGACAAUGGGCGCAAGCCUGAUCCAGCCAUGCCGCGUGCGGGAAGAAGGCCUUCGGGUUGUAAACCGCUUUGUCAGGGAAGAAAUCUUCUGGGUUAAUACCUCGGGAGGAUGACGGUACCUGAAGAAUAAGCACCGGCUAACUACGUGCCAGCAGCCGCGGUAAAAUAGCGU